rnacentral:rRNA from 1 species
GAUGAACGCUGACAGAAUGCUUAACACAUGCAAGUCAACUGUGGCGGACGGGUGAGUAACGCGUAAAGAAGUUGCCUCACAGUUAGGAACAACAUUUGGAAACGAAUGCUAAUACCUGAAACUGUGAGAGAGCUUUGCGUCACAUUAGCUAGUUGGAGAGGUAACGGCUCACCAAGGCGAUGAUGGGUAGCCGGACUGAGAGGGUGAUCGGCCACAAGGGGACUGAGACACGGCCCUUACUCCUACGGGCGGCAGCAGUGGGGAAUAGUGGACAACGGACCAAAGUCUGAUCCAGCAAUUCUGUGUGCACGAUGAAGUUUUCGGAAUGUAAAGUGCUUUCAGUUGGGAAGCGGUACCAACAGAAGAAGCACCGGCUAAAUACGUGCCAGCAGCCGCGGUAAUAC